rfam:Pseudomonas phage vB_PaeM_PAO1_Ab04, complete genome
CGUUCGGUCCCUCAAGGUGAGGGAGCUUGACUGUUAAUCAAGACGUGCCUGGUUCGAUUCCAGGGAGCG